UGUUAUUGUUGCUCACCUGACGUUUAUUUCGUCGUUUAUUUUUGUUUGUGUGGAGAGUUUUUCUUGGUGAUGAUUAUGGUUGCCUACUGGAUAAGUUAAAAGUAUUUGGCCAUACGUGUAUUUGAAGUGUUGACUGCUGUUAAAGUUCUUCACGUCGUGCAAAUUCAAUCACUUCUCUAAAUUUUUCAACAAAUGUCCGAGUGAUACGUGCAUUGGAUGAAGUUAUAUGAAUCAACAUAGAAAGUGAAAUUCACUGAAUGCUAUGUCGAGACAAAUGGAGUCUUGCAAUUGCUGGUUGUUAAGUUGUCAGUGAAAUUGAACAUGUUCGUGGGCUCUACAGUUUUUCUGAUUUCCAGAAUUAAAGUUUCAAAUUAUCAGCAGUUUGAUUUUUUCCAGUGUCGAGAACUUAUUUAUAUUUACAUACAACCAGGGAGUAUGCGAUAAGAAUGGCUAUGUUGCUGUCUUCACAUUAUCACCCCCUUUGCCACCAACAAAUUAAUUUAGCACAUUCAAUCGACUCUUUAAAAGUAGAUGAAGCAAAUGAAGUGUGACUCAAGUCGAGAACAAGCUGAAAUAUCUCUUCUGACCUAAGAAGCCAGCUUAUGACACAUGGCUUAAGAUGACUUAUUAGCAAUUAAUAAUCGAUAACACAAAUUUAGCAGCAGUUUACUGACUUAACUAACAAACUCAGUCAGAGUCUACCAUUUCAAAUGAAUGCUAUUUCUGGAGGCGUUUCACAAUAUAUUUAUCUCACUUUGUCAUGUGAUGGUAUUUGUAUAUGACAAAUAGUUUAAGCCUAGUGAAGAAUUUACUCUAUGAACACUUUACAUAUAUUGAUCCAUUUACAUAUUAUGUUUUUUUUUCUUUUAUUAGAAAGCUGUACUUCUGCUUAUGCGAGCAAUUAGUCAAUUGUAAAGAGACCAUUCAACCAGGAAAACGAGACCAAACUGCAGAAAAAAAAAUUAAUUGGUAAUAGCGGCGUAGAAGAGGAGUCAUGUUGG